rnacentral:rRNA from 1 species
AAUCAACGCUGGCGGCGUGCCUAACACAUGCAAGUCGAACGCGAAAGUCCCGCAAGGGAUGAGUAGAGUGGCGAACGGGUGAGUAACACGUGGGUGACCUACCUUCGAGUGGGGGAUAACGUCCCGAAAGGGACGCUAAUACCGCAUGAAAUCCUGCUUUUGAAACGGUGGAGAUCAAAGCUGGGGAUCGCAAGACCUGGCGCUUGAAGAGGGGCCCGCGUCCGAUUAGCUAGUUGGUGAGGUAAUGGCCCACCAAGGCGACGAUCAGUAGCGGGUCUGAGAGGAUGAUCCGCCACACUGGGACUGAGACACGGCCCAGACUCCUACGGGAGGCAGCAGUGGGGAAUUUUGGACAAUGGGCGCAAGCCUGAUCCAGCCAUGCCGCGUGUCUGAAGAAGGCCUUCGGGUUGUAAAGGACUUUUGUCCGGGAGCAAAUGCUGGUGGCUAACAUCCACCGGAGCUGAGAGUACCGGAAGAAUAAGCACCGGCUAACUACGUGCCAGCAGCCGCCGUAAGAC